rnacentral:rRNA from 1 species
UACGUAGGGGGCAAGCGUUUGUCGGAAUCGAUUGGUGCGUAAAGAGCGUGUAGGCGGCUCGAUAAGUCUGCUGUGAAAGUCCAGGGCUCAACCCUGGAAGGCCGGUGGAAACUGUCGGGCUAGAGUCCGGAAGAGGCGAGUGGAAUCCCCGGUGUAGCGGUGAAAUGCGCAGAUAUCGGGAGGAACACCAAUGGCGAAGGCAGCUCGCUGGGACGGUACUGACGCUGAGACGCGAAAGCGUGGGGAGCAAACAGG